CCGAGCCCUCAGUGGGAACUUGUUCCGGUGCUAUUCCAGUUUGUGGAAGCUUCGUUCUUUUGCUCUUUGCAAGAAAUCUUGCUACUGCUCACUCUUUGGGUCCAUGCUGCCUUUAUGAGCUGUAACACUCACCGUGGAGGUCUGCACCUUCACUCCUGAGCCAGCGGGACCACGAACCCACCAGAAGGAAGAAACUCCCAACAUCAAAACGAACAAACUCUGGACAGGCCACCUUUAAGAACCGUAACACUCAGGCGAGGUUUUGCAGUCUCAUUCUUGGAGUCAGUGAAACCAAGAACCCACCAAUUCCGGACACGAGUGCAGAGUUGAUGUGAGAAGAAGCUAAUAUGGUAUGAAAUGCACCCAUCUCGGUUUUUGACCUAUAGUAUUAAAUGCACCCAUCUCAGUUUUUGACAUAUGGCACCAGGAUUACAAAGCUUAACAAGUCAUGAUUUAGAUUCAGAAGUUACAAAGAGUGGAAAAGGUCAUAUUCUUUCUUAUGAGGAGACAAGAACUCAGGUUGCUGCAGAUCCAUAUGGAGGAUAUGCCUCUGGUUACAUAUUUUGGUGCCAUGUGAGCAUGUCCUACUCCGGUGGAUUUUUUUUUUUCAUCUCUGAGCUUGACCUGAGAUUGACCAUCUGACCUGAGCUAUAAUUUUGACAUAAAUUUUGACUAAAAG
rnacentral:lncRNA from 10 species